AUUGAACGCUGGCGGCAGGCCUAACACAUGCAAGUCGAGCGAGCGGCGGACGGGUGAGUAAUGUCUGGGAAACUGCCCGCUGGAGGGGGAUAACUACUGGAAACGGGAGCUAUAACCCCAUACCAUCAGAUGUGCCCCGGUGGGAUUAGCUAGUAGGUGGGGGAAAGGCUCACCUAGGCGCCGAUCCCUAGCUGGUCUGAGAGGAUGACCAGCCACACUGGAACUGAGACACGGUCCAGACUCCUACGGGAGGCAGCAGUGGGGAAUAUUGCACAAUGGGCGCAAGCCUGAUGCAGCCAUGCCGCGUGUAUGAAGAAGGCCUUAGGGUUGUAAAGUACUUUCAGCGGGGAGGCGUUACCCGCAGAAGAAGCACCGGCUAACUCCGUGCCAGCAGCCGCGGUAAUUC
rnacentral:rRNA from 1 species